rnacentral:rRNA from 1 species
GACGAACGCUGGCGGCGUGCUUAACACAUGCAAGUCGAACGGAAAGGCCCUGCUUUUGUGGGGUGCUCGAGUGGCGAACGGGUGAGUAACACGUGAGUAACCUGCCCUUGACUUUGGGAUAACUUCAGGAAACUAGGGCUAAUACCGGAUAGGAGCUCCUGCUGCAUGGUGGGGGUUGGAAAGUUUCGGCGGUUGGGGAUGGACUCGCGGCUUAUCAGCUUGUUGGUGGGGUAGUGGCUUACCAAGGCUUUGACGGGUAGCCGGCCUGAGAGGGUGACCGGCCACAUUGGGACUGAGAUACGGCCCAGACUCCUACGGGAGGCAGCAGUGGGGAAUAUUGCACAAUGGGCGGAAGCCUGAUGCAGCAACGCCGCGUGCGGGAUGACGGCCUUCGGGUUGUAAACCGCUUUCGCCUGUGACGAAGCGUGAGUGACGGUAAUGGGUAAAGAAGCACCGGCUAACUACGUGCCAGCAGCCGCGGUGAUACGUAGGGUGCGAGCGUUGUCCGGAUUUAUUGGGCGUAAAGGGCUCGUAGGUGGUUGAUCGCGUCGGAAGUGUAAUCUUGGGGCUUAACCCUGAGCGUGCUUUCGAUACGGGUUGACUUGAGGAAGGUAGGGGAGAAAUGGAAUUCCUGGUGGAGCGGUGGAAUGCGCAGAUUUCAGGAGGAACACCAGUGGCGAAGGCGGUUCUUUGGGCCUUUCCUGACGCUGAGGAGCGAAAGCGUGGGGAGCGAACAGGCUUAGAUACCCUGGUAGUCCACGCUGUAAACGGUGGGUACUAGGUGUGGGGUCCAUUCCACGGGUUCCGUGCCGUAGCUAACGCUUUAAGUACCCCGCCUGGGGAGUACGGCCGCAAGGCUAAAACUCAAAGGAAUUGACGGGGCCCCGCACAAGCGGCGGAGCAUGCGGAUUAAUUCGAUGCAACGCGUAGAACCUUACCUGGGUUUGACAUGGAUCGGGAGUGCUCAGAGAUGGGUGUGCCUCUUUUGGGGUCGGUUCACAGGUGGUGCAUGGCUGUCGUCAGCUCGUGUCGUGAGAUGUUGGGUUAAGUCCCGCAACGAGCGCAACCCUUGUUCACUGUUGCCAGCACGUUAUGGUGGGGACUCAGUGGAGACCGCCGGGGUCAACUCGGAGGAAGGUGGGGAUGACGUCAAGUCAUCAUGCCCCUUAUGUCCAGGGCUUCACGCAUGCUACAAUGGCUGGUACAGAGAGUGGCGAGCCUGUGAGGGUGAGCGAAUCUCGGAAAGCCGGUCUCAGUUCGGAUUGGGGUCUGCAACUCGACCUCAUGAAGUCGGAGUCGCUAGUAAUCGCAGAUCAGCAACGCUGCGGUGAAUACGUUCCCGGGGCU